rnacentral:rRNA from 1 species
CCUACGGGCGGCAGCAGUGAGGAAUAUUGGUCAAUGGGCGCGAGCCUGAACCAGCCAAGUCGCGUGAGGGAAGACGGUCCUAUGGAUUGUAAACCUCUUUUGUAGCGGAGAAAAAGACGCCACGCGUGGCGUUCUGAGAGUACCCGAAGAAAAAGCAUCGGCUAACUCCGUGCCAGCAGCCGCGGUAAUACGGAGGAUGCGAGCGUUAUCCGGAUUUAUUGGGUUUAAAGGGUGCGUAGGUGGGUUGUUAAGUCAGUUGGGAAAUUUUGCGGCUCAACCGUAAAAUUGCAGUUGAUACUGGCAGUCUAGAGUACAGUAGAGGUGGGCGGAAUGCGUGGUGUAGCGGUGAAAUGCUUAGAUAUCACGAAGAACUCUGAUUGCGAAGGCAGUUCACUGGACUGCAACUGACACUGAGGCUCGAAAGUGUGGGUAUCAAACAGGAGUAGAUACCCCAGUAGUC